ACGCUGGCGGCGUGGAUUAGGCAUGCAAGUCGAACGGUAGGAUCCUUUCGGGGAUCUGAGAGUGGCGAACGGGUGAGUAACACGUAGGUGAUCUACCCUCAAGACGGGGACAACCCAGGGAAACUUGGGCUAAUACCGGAUGUGAGCUAUCGCGAGAUAGUUUGAAAGGUGGCUUCGGGCUGCCGCUUGAGGAUGAGCCUGCGUCCUAUUAGCUAGUUGGUGAGGUAACGGCUCACCGAGGCAGUGAUAGGUAGGCGGCCUUAACGGGUGGUCGCCCACACUGGGAUUGAGAUACGGCCCAGACUCCUACGGGAGGCAGCAGUCGAGAAUAGUCUACAAUGGUCGAAAGACUGAUAGUGCGACGCCGCGUGAACGAAGAAGCCCUUCGGGGUGUAAAGUUCUUUUAUAUGUGAGCAGUGACACCCAUAUUAAUAGUAUGGGUGUAGAGAUAUUAGCAUAUGAAUAAGCAACGGCUAACUCCGUG
rnacentral:rRNA from 1 species